rnacentral:lncRNA from 1 species
GUCAAACUCAGGAGAAGCUUCCUUGGCCUAUUUCCCCAGGAAGAUUUCCAAGAAUUACCUCCAAGUUUUAUUUUGAAGAGAGGACAUUAUAAUCACCCAAGGAGGGAACACGGCACAGAAGUUGCAGACAGUGGAGGAACACUGAGUUCAUUCAAUGAACAAACUGAUGAGCUACUGAGGACUUUGAGCACUGAAGUAAUGACACCACCAGUGUUUCCAGUCCUUUGGAUUUUGAAUCCAUGAAACAAGUCAGGAACCUGCUGUCCUAAGUGGCAGCUUCUGGAUCAAAGUCACAGAACCCUGGCUUACACGGUUUGGCCAUUCAAAAGCAGGUUGUCCACCGGAAUGAUAUGCUUUUCUUCCUCCAAUGGGGGGGGGGGGGGUAAGAUUCCAAGGCCAGGGCACAGCGGGGAUCUCUCUGUGCUUGGAGAGUAACCACAACCCCAACUUGGCAUGGGGACAAUCUCAUUCAAACUCCCAGGACUCCCUCUGUCCUCUCCUGCAGUAUACACCUGGAAUUGAUGGAGGGGGAAGAGGAUGGAGAGACAAGCACAACUGUACCACCACCAGCAGGCUGUGGUGCAAGGGACAGGAUCAACCCACAAUGAAUGGAAGGAACCUGGGCUCAAACUAAGUCUUACACCAGGCAACCAUCCACCUGGCUCACAGCAAACACACAGCUCCUGCAGAAGCUAUGAUACAAGGAAAGCCCUCCUACCCAAACAGAAGGCCAGGUGCAUCCUGCCCUCUCUGGGAUUCCUGUGGUCAGUAGUUAGUUCCAAGGUUUCCCACUCCAUGGAGUGCUCUUUUCACAUCCAUGGGUGCCACUUCACCUCAAGCUUACCAUGGCUUACGUGGCAUCAGCUUUUAGUUUGA